AAGACAGCUAUAGAAAAAGCUGGAUACACUGGAAAGGUGGUUAUUGGAAUGGAUGUUGCUGCUUCUGAAUUCUUCAGUGAGAAGGAUAAGACUUAUGAUCUUAAUUUCAAGGAGGAAAACAACGAUGGUUCAAACAAAAUCUCAGGUGACAGCCUGAAAGAUCUGGUCAAGUCCUUUGUUUCUGAAUAUCCUAUUGUGUCCAUCGAAGACCCAU